rnacentral:rRNA from 1 species
CGGUAUCCUGACCGUGCAAAGGUAGCAUAAUCAUUUGCCUUCUAAUUAAAGGCUAGUAUGAAUGGAAAACCGAAAACUCCCCUGUCUCUUUUUUAUUCUUAAAAAUUAACCUUCAGGUGAAGAGGCCUGAAUUCUAUUAAAAGACAAGAAGACCCUGUCGAGCUUAAUUUUAAAUCUUCAUAAUAUCAUUUUUACUUUAUAUAAAAAUUUUGUUGGGGCGACAAAGGAGAAAAUAAAACCUCCUUAUCAUUUUAGACCUAUAGUCCCUCUACAGACCCAUUUUAUGCUCUCCUACACUAGCUACCGCAGGGAUAACAGACUAAUUUUCCUCAAGAGCCCAUAUCUACAGGAAAGUUUAGCACCUCGAUGUUGGCUUAAGAAUUCU